rnacentral:rRNA from 1 species
CCUACGGGAGGCAGCAGUGAGGAAUAUUGGUCAAUGGACGAGAGUCUGAACCAGCCAAGUAGCGUGAAGGAUGACUGCCCUAUGGGUUGUAAACUUCUUUUAUAUGGGAAUAAAAUGUUCCACGUGUGGGAUUUUGUAUGUACCGUAUGAAUAAGGAUCGGCUAACUCCGUGCCAGCAGCCGCGGUAAUACGGAGGAUCCGAGCGUUAUCCGGAUUUAUUGGGUUUAAAGGGAGCGUAGGUGGAUUGCUAAGUCAGUUGUGAAAGUUUGCGGCUCAACCGUAAAAUUGCAGUUGAUACUGGAAGUCUUGAGAACAGUAGAGGCGGGCGGAAUGCGUGGUGUAGCGGUGAAAUGCUUAGAUAUUACGAAGAACUCCGAUUGCGAAGGCAGCUCACUGGACUGCAACUGACACUGAGGCUCGAAAGUGUGGGUAUCAAACAGGAUUAGAUACCCUGGUAGUC